CCUACGGGUGGCAGCAGUGGGGAAUAUUGCGCAAUGGGCGAAAGCCUGACGCAGCGACGCCGCGUGAGGGAUGAAGGUCUUCGGAUCGUAAACCUCUGUCAGCAGGGAAGAACGGUCACUGUGCUAAUCAGCAGUGAAUUGACGGUACCUGCAAAGGAAGCACCGGCUAACUCCGUGCCAGCAGCCGCGGUAAUACGGAGGGUGCGAGCGUUAAUCGGAAUUACUGGGCGUAAAGCGCGCGUAGGCGGUAUGUCAAGUCAAGGGUGAAAUCCCCGCGCUCAACGUGGGAACUGCCUUUGAAACUGGCAAACUGGAGUGUGUGAGAGGAUAGUGGAAUUCCAGGUGUAGGGGUGAAAUGCGUAGAUAUCUGGAGGAACAUCAGUGGCGAAGGCGACUAUCUGGCACAUAACUGACGCUGAGGAGCGAAAGCGUGGGUAGCAAACAGGAUUAGAUACCCUAGUAGUC
rnacentral:rRNA from 1 species